rnacentral:rRNA from 1 species
AGAGUUUGAUCAUGGCUCAGGAUGAACGCUGGCGGCGUGCCUAACACAUGCAAGUCGAGCGAUUCACUUCGGUGAAGAGCGGCGGACGGGUGAGUAACGCGUGGGUAACCUGCCUCAUACACAUGAAUAACAUACCGAAAGGUAUGCUAAUACAAGAUGAUAUAAGAGAUUCGCAUGGAUUUCUUAUCAAAGCUCCGGCGGUAUGAGAUGGACCCGCGUCUGAUUAGCUAGUUGGUAAGGUAACGGCUUACCAAGGCGACGAUCAGUAGCCGACCUGAGAGGGUGAUCGGCCACAUUGGAACUGAGACACGGUCCAAACUCCUACGGGAGGCAGCAGUGGGGAAUAUUGCACAAUGGGCGAAAGCCUGAUGCAGCAACGCCGCGUGAGCGAUGAAGGCCUUCGGGUCGUAAAGCUCUGUCCUCAAGGAAGAUAAUGACGGUACUUGAGGAGGAAGCCCCGGCUAACUACGUGCCAGCAGUCGCGGUAAUACGUAGGGGGCUAGCGUUAUCCGGAUUUACUGGGCGUAAAGGGUGCGUAGGUGGUUUCUUAAGUCAGGAGUGAAAGGCUACGGCUUAACCGUAGUAAGCUCUUGAAACUGGGAAACUUGAGUGCAGGAGAGGAAAGUAGAAUUCCUAGUGUAGCGGUGAAAUGCGUAGAUAUUAGGAAGAACACCAGUAGCGAAGGCGGCUUUCUGGACUGUAACUGACACUGAGGCACGAAAGCGUGGGGAGCAAACAGGAUUAGAUACCCUGAUAGUCCACGCCGUAAACGAUGAGUACUAGGUGUCGGGGGUUACCCCCCUCGGUGCCGCAGCUAACGCAUUAAGUACUCCGCCUGGGGAGUACGCUCGCAAGAGUGAAACUCAAAGGAAUUGACGG